rnacentral:rRNA from 1 species
CCCGAAUUAAAAUGAGCUUUUAAAGAUUUGUUGAGAACAUAUAAGAUAUAUGGCAAUAUAUAAUUAAAAAUUUUUAAAAGGGGCCACAUACCACGCAUUUUAUAUUACCUGGUUUAUUAUUUUAAUUAUCUAAGUAAUAUUAAUAUUAGUAUUAAAUUAUUUUAUAAAGGAUAAGCUUUAUAAAAAGAAAAUUGGAAAAACUUAUUUUAAAAAUAAGCUUAAAAUCAGCUAUUUUACCCCGUUAUAGGAGUUUAAUAAUAAUAAUAAUAAAAAUCAAAAAAAAGUAAUAUUUUAAAAGAAACAAGUUUUUAAUUAAUAAUGGUAAAAUAAAUAUUUAAAAUUAAAUCAAAUAUCUUCUAAAUCUUAAAUACAAAGUUAUUUAUAACUUAUAUAAGCAAGGAACUCGGCAAAAAGAUUUUCGACUGUUUAUCAAAAACAUUGCCUUUUGUAAUAAUAUAUAAGGUAUAUUCUGCCCAGUGAAGAAUUCAACGGCCGCGGUAUCCUGACCGUGCAAAGGUAGCAUAAUCACUUGCCCCUUAAUUAGGGGCUAGAAUGAAAGAAUUAACGAAAAAUCAACUGUCUCACUUAUAUUAUUAAAAUUUAAUUUUUAGGUGAAGAAGCCUAAAUAAAAAUAAAAGACAAGAAGACCCUAUCAAGCUUUAAUUAAUUAAUUAUAUUAUUAAUAGUAAAAAUUUUUAUUGGGGCGAUAUGAAAUAUUAAAAUCCAUUUCUAAUAAUAAGAAUAAUAAUUCUUUAUAAUUAACUUCUUAAAAAUUUAAAAAAGCUACUGUAGGGAUAACAGGCUAAUAUUUCUUGAGAGCUCUUAUCAACAGAAAUGAUUGGCACCUCGAUGUUGGCUUUGGAUACCAAGUUUGUGCAGAAGCAAACUAUGGUGGUUUGUUCAACCAUAAAAUUCCUACAUGAGCUGAGUUCAGACCGACGUAAGUCAGGUUAGGUUCUAUCUUUAUUAUAAAUAUAAAUAGUACGAAAGGACCUUUAUAU